GCAGUAGCGUCACGCGGAGGCGGACCGAGGACUCGGGGACAGUUACCAUAUAUUUGCAGUUCAAGGAGAAUAUGAGAUAGAGAAGAAAGCUGUGAAUGAAUUUCAUUUGAUUAGCAAUAGAUUGCACACUCUACUGAUCUUGCCUCUCUACAACCUCUUUUCCACCUGACCUCUAAAUGUUGAAGUGCUUCAGGAAUUGUCUUAGACCUUCUUCCUUAUCUACACUUCCUCUCCAAGUGAGUCCAUAGAAUUCUGUAACCUGGAAACUCCCCAGUUUUUCUCUCUAGAAAUUCUCGACUUUAGUCUCAUAUAUCUGGUUGCUGACUUGACAUCUCUAUUUGGAUGUCUCUGAGAUACCUUAAACUCAAUAUGUGUAAAAUGUAUAUAGCUUUUGAUUUUCCAUCCUGCAAAAAUACCAUUCAUUUCUUGGCCUUUCUCCUCACAGUCUUUGGCACUACAGUUCACCUAGCUGCACAAACCUAAAACUUGGGAGUCAUCUUUAUUUAUUUUUCUGUAGCAUCUUCAUUCUAGUUCAUCAACCCAACUUCUCUGUACUAUAAAAUUAAAAUAAUAAUACCUUUUUAGUAACAUGGAGGAUUAAAGGAGUUAAUAAAUAAAUGUAGCCUUUGAAUAGUGCCUGGCACAUAGUUAACACAAUAUAAUUGUAGCUACUACUGCUACUAUUAUUAUUACUUUUUAUCCCCUACAGCAUCAACCCCCUUC
rnacentral:sRNA from 1 species